UCUUGUUCUUCUUUUUAUUAUCUUCACUUCAAGACCUCUUGUGCAGAAUUUGGUGAAGUCUCGAUCAAUCUACGAGGAAAGAACAACUUAGUGGAUCAUUUAAUUAAUAGAUCAUCAAAUUGGCGAGUUUCGAUCCAUUAAAUAAUUCAGACCCAUUGAAAACUUCUCCGACGAGUGGCCUAGAGUGACCCUGGCCCUUUUUUGUGUUCGGCAACCUCUUAUCUCUCUCUGUUGCUACUGCUUAUUAUUGCAUGGGUGUCGGUGCUGCCAACUUCAACUUUCCAACGCUCCGAUGGGAAAUUUUCUCUGCUGUGGACAGCAAGCAACACCAUCUAUUGGUCUGCUGCUUGGUGCUGUUUGGACUGCUGUUUCAAGACGGCUAUGUCUUCGAGUCGACAACUUCUUCGAUCAAUAUCUGCUGCUAGAUCUGCGAUUUGAAACAUCUUUUUCGAUCAGUUCAUUGUUGGGAUUCGUUGUCGAUGUCUACUUUGCAACAACACAUUUCCCUAACCCUUAACCUUUUACAUCUUUUGUUUUUUUUCCUUCUUCUAAAAUUUUUCUAUUCUUUUCUCAAGAUGGUAUUCUGGCUAAGACAGUAUUAAAUUGAUCAAUAGGAAUUUGGAUGAUUCGUGUUCUGCGCCCGUGUUUACUGAUUCUGCUUGCAGAUUUUUCGACGUCUGGAAGGCCAGGUGAACAAAUCAUUAUCUAUUACCCCAGUUGGCAAUAGCAGUGGCUAUUUGCUUAAUUUGAGGAAACAAGCAGCCAACCUUCAAUCCAACCACCUGCUUCGUCUCCUCCCUUAUCUACUGCUCCUAAUUGGCUAAAGUGGACUUUGGGGUCUAUAAUGUGGCUAGCUCUCCCCAGAUGGAAGAAAAUACAAAAAAAUGAUGGUAAUCUAAGAAAAGAAAAUAUAAAUCAUUCUAUAGAUCUUCUAACUCAAUGUUAGGAAUUAUGUAAUUGUAUCUCAUAGUGGCAAAAAGAUUGGA